CCUUGAAAAAGAGGAAUACAGGACUUCCCUGUUGGCGCAGUAGAUAAGAAUACGCCUGCCAAUGCAGGGGACACGGGUUCAAGCCCUGGUCCAGGAAGAUCCCACAUGCCGUGGAGCAGCUAAGCUCGUGUGCCACAACUACUGAGCCUGCGCUCUAGAGCCUGCACGCCACAACUACUGAGCCCACGCGCCACAACUACUGAAGCCUGCAUGCCUAGAGCCCGUGCUCCACAACAAGAGAAGCCACCACAAGGAGAAGCUCACACACUGCAACAAAGAAUAGCCCCCACUCGCCACAACUAGAGAAAGCCUGUGCACAGCAAUGAAGACCCAAUGCAGCCAAAAAUAAAAUUAAAAAUUAAAACUUUUUUUAAAAAAAGAGGAAUACAUUUGGAGGACUCAUACUAGCUGGUCUUAAGACUUACUACAAAGCUAUAGUAAUCAAGACAGUGUGGCAUUGGUCAAAGAAUAGACACAUAAAUCAAUAAAUCACAACAGAGUUCAGAAAUAGACCCACACAAAUAUAGUUAAUUGAGUUGACAGAGUGCAGAGACACUUCAGUAGAGAAAGAUUCGUCUUCAAUAAAUGAUGUAGCAACAACUGGACAGCCAUGUUUUAGGAAAUGAACCUUGACCUAUACCUGUCAUACAAAAUUUAACUCAAAACCAAACAUAGACCUAAAUGAAAAAUUAUAAAACUUUUAGAAGAAAACAGGAAAUAAAUCUUUGUGACCUUGUGUUAGGCAGAGUUCUUAGCUACAACACCAGAAGCACAAUUCAUAAAGUUAAAAAUUGAUAAAUUGAACAACAUCAGAAUUAGAAACUUGAUCUGUGGAAUUAAGAAAAUAAAAAGACAAGCCAAAAACAGGGAGAAAAUACUUGCAAAUUAUAUAUCUGACAAAGGUUUAUAUCCAGAAUAUAUAAAGAAUCCUCAAAACAAGAAAACAGUCAACUCAGUUUAAAAAAAUAAAGAUGAAAAGACAUUUCACCAAAGUAGAUAUACAAAUGACAGAUAAGCAAAUGAAAAGAUGCUCAGUGUCAUUAGUUGUUAGGGAAAUGCACACUAAAACCACGAGACAUGGAUAGACACCUAUUAAAGCGGCUUAAAAAAAAAAAACCCUGAACACAGCCUGACAAUACCACAUGCUGGUGAGGAUGCAGAGCAACUGGAAUGCUCAUAUGUUAUGGUGGGAACACAGAUGAUGUGUUUCUAAAGAAGAAAAAGCCACAUGAUCAUCCCAAUAGAUGCAGAAAGAAUAUUUGACAAAAUUCAAUAUCCAUUCCUAAUAAAAACUCUCAGCAAAUUAGGAACAGAAGGGAACUUCCUUAACCUGAUGAAGGGAAACCACAUAGAAACCUACAGCAGACCUCAAACUCAAGAGUCAAAGACUGACUUCUUAUUUUCUAAGAUUGGGAACAAAGCAAGAACGCUGGCCACUAUGGAAAACAGUUUGGUAGUUUCUUAUAAAGUUCAACAUGUUCUUAUCAUACAGAAUCCCAGUCUCACUCCUAGGUAUUUACCCAAGAUAAAUAAAAAUCUUUGUUUAUACAAAAACUUGUACAUGAAUAUUUAUAUCAACUUGAACAAAACAAAACUAGAAACAAUUAAAAUGUUCCUCAUCUGGGGAUGGAGGGACCAAUGUGGUAAUCCAUGCAGUGCUUCUGCUCCACAGUGGGAAGGAAUGGACUGCUGAUGCCCACAGCAAACACAUGGGUCUCAGAUGCAUGCUGCUGAUUGAAAGAAGCCAGACUCAAAAGGCUGCAAACCUUUUGCUUUAUUUAUGUGACAGUCUGGAAAAGACAGAACUAUAGGGAAAGCGUUUUGUCAGGACUUAGGGGACAUUUCCACGACAUUGGGGUAGCACAGGGAGGGCAUUGGAACUGUUUUGUAUCUUGGUUGUGGUGGUGGUUACACAACUCUACGCAUGUGUCAAAACUCAGAAUUGUGAACCAAAAAGAGUGAAUCUUAAUCCAUGUAAAUUUAUAGCUAAAAAAUUUUAAGGUAAUAAAUAUUCAGAACAUAUCCUUUCCUAACGUUUGACUGUUAUCUCUGCUCCUGAGAUUACUUCCGUCUAUUGCAUCUAGUGGUGGAAACGCUUCUCUUCCUGCGCUUCUGUACUUCUCUUACCAGUUCCACCGUCAGGACACCACGUGGGUGGCUGGAAAUCUGAUGUGGUGGGAGUAUUUACACCAUAGAAGUUGGGAAAUGCUAUAGACCAAGGCUUAAUUUAUUGUUUUGUUGAUUGUCUAGACUUGAGAAAGUGAUGACGAAAACGUUAAUGCCAAUUAAACUUAAAGUGUCAUCUAUACAUAGCACAAAAAAUUGAGGAAAUUGUCUUACAAUAUUUGACAGCUAGUACUGAUUCAGCAAAGAAGUCACUCACUGACAAGUAAAAUUCUCACACAUAUAUUUCUGUUGUUUUACUUCCGUACUCCUUAAGGUAAACAAAAAUAUCAACCAAUAUUCAUGUCAGAGCUAGACUGCUGGCUGCAACCAUAGGUUGGCUGUGGAUGCAAGAGUUCAGGAAAAAUCAAAGCCUCAGUGGAAUUUAGAGUAAAGAAUAUUGCAUAUUUUGUUAUUUGGGAAUUGUGUGCUAUAAUUCCUUUAUAGGAGUAAAAUGUAUAACGAAAUGUAUGGUUAUAUAUGCAGUCUCUCCCAACCCCACCCUGAAAAGCUGGUUGUUGCACAUUAUCCAGCAAACCACUGCUUAGGAAUCACUGGAAACAAGGAAGAGAAGAGGACCAAGGUCAGAGGCCUGGACCAGCUCAACAUUAGAGAUCAAGAGAAAGAGCUGGUAAAGGAUAUCAGGAGCAGGGGAGCUGGCCAGGCCUCACCGGAGGAGGUGUCAUGGAGGGAGAUGAUACUGAGGGUCACCGCUGCCCUGGCUGAGAAGCAAGAAGCCUCAGGAUGCUGAGGGGAGACAGUUCUCUUGGCGGUAGCCAAGGGGCAGGAGCAAAUCCCCCCAAGGACAUGGUGAGAUCAUUCACUCUGGUGGGAGGCAGCUGCCAUGGGAAGGCCCACCUGGCAUGAACCGAAGCCUUCUGCCCACCUGCCACGUGAAAGAGCCUGGAAGUGGACCCUCCAACUCACAAGCCUCCAGAGACUGCAGCCUCGUAAGAGACCCUGAGUCAGAACCACCCACUAAGCUGCCCCUGGAUUCCUGACCUUCAGCAACUGUGAGGUGAUAAUUGUUGUCUUAGCUGCUAAGUUUUAGGCCAGUUUGUUACACACUAAUAGAAAUUAAUGCGGCGAUGAGGGCUUAGACCAGGUGAUGGCAAGUGGAACUGGUGAGAAAUAGUUGGACCCAGCAUGUAUUUCAAAGGGAAGAAUCUGGACAGGUCCAGUUUGAGAUACUUACGGAGACAUUCAAGUGGAGACUUCAGGAAGCACGCAGUUAUAAAAGUCUCGUUCUGGGAGAAGUUGGCAUUUGGAUGGUAUUUAAAGCCAGGAGUCUGGCUAAGAUCAGGAAUCAGCAGAAACAGAGAAGAGGCCCAGGGGUUGAGCCCUGGGACAGUGCAACUUAGAACAACUAGGAAGAGGAGGAGAAGGAGCUCCCAGUAAGGAAGACAGGAAACGAGGGCGAGGUGCUCUGGAGGACAGGGGAGGAGCUGUCACGAGGGAGGGCGUGUUCACCUGGGCCGCUGAUAGGGUGAGGACAGUAAGAUGGAAUGGAGGAUGGUGAUAGGAUGGUGGGGCAGAGAGCUGACUGGAUGGCAGGGACGGAAGUGAGGAAGAGGAGACAAGGACUACACACAUUUCUUUAGGGAGUUUUGCUUAAGUGGGGAUGUUGGCUAGGAAAAGACAUGGGGUUGAGGAGGCUGGGUAUCUUUAAGGCAGCCGUUACCAUGGUAUGGUUGCAAACUGAUGGGGAUGAUUCAGCAGAGAGGGGGUGACAUCCAGGGAAAUGUCAAGGAUGCCUCCGAGGUUCUGACCUGCACCUUGAAGCACGGACAUGUGAAUUCCCAUUGUGGGCAUGGCCUUCCCUGCUGGGCUGGCACGGAAGCUGCAAGGAGGUGCGGCCCUCAGCCUAGAGCCAUAGGCAUGGUCUCCUCACUGGGCAGUACGGUCCAGGGAACGAGGGACAGCGGGAGGGCCCAGAGCACUGCAGAUGCUGCAGGCAAAUCCAGGAGAUGUUUAAUGUAAAACUAGACUCCACUGGAAGGCAAAGAAAAGGACUCUGGCCCCUUAGACUUGGUUUCAUUUUGGACUUUAUUGGGAAAAGUUAGUGUAAAAAACAUUCAAAUUCAUAAAAUUUAAAUAAGAAAGUAAAAUUAUACCUUGUAGCUAUAGUAAUCACAAAUAAGGUAAGUCUAAAUUACUGCCUAAGCAAACACUAUUUUGUCAGGCUUCUCUCAUAAGCCCAAGGCAGGAAACACUGCAAUUAUUAGAAGUGAGCCCAAUGAUGAAUUUGCAUUGCAUUUGAAGCUGAAGAAAGGGAAAAAAGCAUGUUCUGGUUACAGCAUCACAACAUUCUAGCCUGAAAAAAGCAACUUUAUUCAUGUCCUGCAGCAGAGUACAUUAGUUAUUGUAACCAUGCAUUAAAAUUCUCACAUCAUAAA